UUAUUCUUUUGUUUAAACAAUCUUUUGUUAGAAGAUCAACAGAAUCGUUCGAUAAAGCAGUCAAUCCAAAAAAUCUUCGAGGUCUUGUCGGCCUCGCUAUUGUGAAGUUUUUACCAUAUUAUCUUAAACUAGUAUAUAAGCCUGCACAGAUUGUUACAGAAGCAUAGUUUACUGCUAUCUUCUCUACAGAUAACCAAAGAACUAAACCAAAAUGCCUGCUCCCACUGAAUCCUGCAAAGACUCCUGCAAAGACGCUGAUUGCUGCAAGGACAACAACUGUGAGACCAACUGCUCCGACUGCUCCACUGAUGGUGGUUGCUGCAAGUGAAGGGGGUCAUUAUAUAUGUAAUACAAUAUAAUCAAUUGUUUUAAUGUAAUCUUUUUCUGGUUUAUUCAAUAAAAAUGG